rnacentral:piRNA from 1 species
UGAGCAAGACAUGGUGAAAUCUACCCC